CGAUAAGAAGCUAAAUUCUGGACUAUAGCGUUAGCCUUUUAAGCUAAAAUAUGGUGGCCUCCGCCCACCCUUAGCGA
rnacentral:tRNA from 1 species